rnacentral:rRNA from 1 species
GGAUAACCGUAGUAAUUCUAGAGCUAAUACAUGUAUAAAGUCUUGUAGACUGCAUUUAUUAGAAUGAAAACCAUAGGUUUCGGCCUAUUCGUGAGUAAUAAUAACUAAUCAUAUCGUAUGCUUAAGUAACGAUGUGUCUUUCAAGUUUCUGCCCUAUCAGCUUUCGAUGGUAGUGUAUUGGACUACCAUGGCAUAACGGGUAACGAAAAUUGGGUUCGAUUUCGGAGAGGGAGCCUGAGAGUGGCUACCACAUCCAGGAAGGCACAGCGCGUAAUUACCCAUCCUGACCAGGAGGUAUGACAAUAAUCACAAUGCG